rnacentral:rRNA from 1 species
CCUACGGGUGGCUGCAGUGGGGAAUAUUGGACAAUGGGCGCAAGCCUGAUCCAGCCAUGCCGCGUGAGUGAAGAAGGCCUUCGGGUUGUAAAGCUCUUUUGUCCGGAAAGAAAAGCAUUCGGUUAAUAACCGGAUGUCAUGACGGUACCGGAAGAAUAAGCACCGGCUAACUUCGUGCCAGCAGCCGCGGUAAUACGAAGGGUGCAAGCGUUACUCGGAAUUACUGGGCGUAAAGCGUGCGUAGGUGGUUCGUUAAGUCUGAUGUGAAAGCCCUG